AGAUUUCCUUUUUAACCAUGGCAGGAAGACUGGGAUUGUGACAAGAGGAAGGGGAAACACAGAAGAACAGUUAGUAGCAUCUUUUCACAGGCAUCAGUCAUGAGUCUGAGUCUCUCAGCAUACCCAUGCUGAGCUGUCAUUAAUCAGUCUGCACUUUGGAAACUGCUUAUGAGUCUGCUUAUGGCACAGUUUAGGCAGCAGGGACCAGCUCUAUUUCAGCUUAUUAAGAAUGGUUCUACUCUGCACAGUUCUGUUCUGCAUGAGGAAUCAUCAACGAUUAUAUUGUGGUUAUUACAUAUGAAAAUGGAAGAAAACAACAGCUUCUUUCACACUCAGAUGUAAAGUAGAGCAGACCCCAGGGAGGUGUCGAUGGAGUUCCUGAGCGUCAGGUGGGAGAGAGGUGAGAGAAGCUAUACAACCUAACCUGGUCUGUUACAAAGUUUUGGGCAUGCUCUGACUUUGAUUAAUGAACUGUUCUGCCCCAAAUAUUUCUUGGAUGUCUACAUUACCAUUUUCAAUUGUGC